rnacentral:rRNA from 1 species
GACGAACGCUGGCGGCGUGCUUAACACAUGCAAGUCGUACGGUAAGGCCCUUUCUGGGGUACACGAGUGGCGCACGGGUGAGUAACACGUGAGUAACCUGCCCACAACUUUGGGAUAACGCUAGGAAACUGGUGCUAAUACUGGAUAUGUGCUCCUGCUGCAUGGUGGGGGUUGGAAAGCUCCGGCGGUUGUGGAUGGACUCGCGGCCUAUCAGCUUGUUGGUGGGGUAGUGGCCUACCAAGGCGGCGACGGGUAGCCGGCCUGAGAGGGUGACCGGCCACAUUGGGACUGGGAUACGGCCCAGACUCCUACGGGAGGCAGCAGUGGGGAAUAGUGCACAAUGGGCGCAAGCCUGAUGCAGCAACGCCGCGUGCGGGAUGACGGCCUUCGGGUUGGAAACCGCUUUCAGCAGGGACGAAGCUUUUUGUGACGGUACCUGCAGAAGAAGCACCGGCUAACUACGUG